AACUGAAGAGUUUGAUCAUGGCUCAGAUUGAACGCUGGCGGCAGGCUUAACACAUGCAAGUCGAGCGGGGGAAGGUAGCUUGCUACUGGACCUAGCGGCGGACGGGUGAGUAAUGCUUAGGAAUCUGCCUAUUAGUGGGGGACAACAUCUCGAAAGGGAUGCUAAUACCGCAUACGUCCUACGGGAGAAAGCAGGGGAUCUUCGGACCUUGCGCUAAUAGAUGAGCCUAAGUCGGAUUAGCUAGUUGGUGGGGUAAAG
rnacentral:rRNA from 1 species